GAACUAUAGCAAACAGCACUAUGUUGCAGCUUCCAGCUGGAGCACACUCUCCCUUCCCUGCUACUUGCUGCUCAUAAGCUCCCCACUACCCCAGUCUUUAACAGCCUUACCACCAGGUUCUUGGUGUCUCUCCCCCCUCCCCUGGCCUGCCACUCCCAUCCCAGGAGUACAGGCAGGGCAAUAAAACCCCUCCCCAGCCUGGCUUGGUUCCUGACUCACACCAUCCAUUGAUCAUACCUCCAGUAGCCUCAGUUUCCCCAUCAAGAAGCACAGAGCUUCAGAGCACUAUGUGACAUGGGGUACUUCCAAGCACCUGGGAACCAAGAGCCAGGAGAUAGACUGGUUUCCUCAGCACAGAGCCCCUCAGAGCUUGACAAACCAAGAACCCUCAAGAAGAACACGGGGUGCUACAAAAUUUGCACUCAGACUUGACCAGGGAGGCCAUUCUUUUCUCCUGGAACACACUUUGGGACAUUCACAGGCCUUGCUACUCCUCUGUGGCUUGUGUGUGUCCUGGUAGCUGAUUAGACCACCCAGUCUGUGCAUAUACAAAUUCCUACAUUCUGACCUCCAGGCGAUUUAUGCUUCUGCCCAGUCUCCUGGGCACCCCAGUAGGUCACAUAUACUGGGUUCACCUGGGGAGCCUUAAAACCUCCAGAUUUAAUUGACCUGCAGUUUCACCAGUCACUGGGAGUUUGCCAAGCUGCCCUGAUGGUUUUAAAGUACAGCCAGCUAUAUGGAUGGGUGCACACCAGACAGGGUUAGGCGGAUCCAUUUGAAUUUGAAAUCUUGAGGAAAACAGGGGACUGUCUCAAGGCCCCGGCACUGGCUGGUUGCAAGGCCUGAACCAGGAUAAGGCGCCUGCAGUUCUAGCUGGUGUCAUCACUCACCCCACCUCGUGGCCUGGAACGUUCUCCUUCCGAGCCUCAGCUUGUACGUGCGUGUGUCGUGUGGGGGGUGGAGUCCACGUGCCACAGUGUAUCUGUCAAGUCAGAGGACAGCUUUAUGGAGCGGGUUCCCUCCUUCCACCUUUAUAUGGGCACCAGGGAUCAAAUUCGGGUUUCCACGUUUAUCCAGCAAGCUCUUUCUCCUACUGAGCCAUCUUGUUGGGAUCCUCAGCCUUAGCCUUUUGACCCCAAACAAGAGCCUUGGUUGAGCCCGGUCCUGAAACCAGCUUUGUACCUGGCCCACUCUACUCAGGAUUCUAAACGACCCAUCCCCAGGACGGAAAAGCCCAAGCCAUCCGGGAAGGGAAACAAGCCAUCAGGGCUUGGUCCUGUUAUAAAGCAAGCACUCUCGGGAGGACGAAUCCCAGCCUGGCCCCUUGUGGGCUCUGCUGCCUUGCCUUACCCUUGAUCCCUAAUGCAUCUCAGUUUCCUGGCUUAUGGACGGGCACAGUGGCCCAUGGCCCUGUGCAGAGAAAUAAAGGAGGUGCUGGACUCUUGGCUGGCAUCGUGUGAAGUUGCUGGGGGCUCUUACGUUGGCAGUGAUGCAGGAGGCCUGAGGUUUUUGGCUGCCUGGAGAGCAACAUUCCCUGCACUCUCCCUUCCCUGGUUCCCUUGCUAGAUUCCCCAGCCUGGCCGCUAUCCCACUGUCCCUUCAUGUGUGUGACUGUGGCUAGGAGGAGCCCUGUGUCCUGUGCUGCCAGUGUAGGGGACCAGAUAACUUUGCCAGCCACAGCUGGUGGCAGCCUUCCCACCGAGUGGGCCCACUCCUGACGGGGCAGCUGCUACCGUCAGGGUUGGUUUAUUUUUAUUCCUCCCUCUAGAGCCUGUAAUCAAAGGGCAGUAUCAUACUGCUGCUUGCCACGGGGAACAGAGAUGACGGGGUGUUAUUCACAGCCAGGCCCUGGGAAUGGGUCAGUGGCUGGCUUACACUUUCAUCUCUGAGGGAAACGGAGGUUGUAGACUCAACUCCUUCAAGGUUGCUCCCUUCAGCUCUGCUCUAGAUCACGGGUCUUCCCCUGGCCCUAUGACAGCUGUGGUAAGGGCAGCAUUAAGAGCAGCACCCCACGGACCUCACACCUUGGCCAGAGUCAGCUGGCUAAGUGCAGAUGGCAGGCCACAUUCACUCCCUCCUCUCCCCAGUCCUGGGUAGAUCUGAGAAUCAGAAUCCUAACAAGUUCUCUGGACCAACCACAGAUCUAGACACUGCUGCAGAGCUGUGGACACUUUUUCUCCUGUGCCAGUUCACCUCCCAGGGCUCCCAGCCCUGACCAGUCAGUCGGCUUUCUUUCGGCUUUCGGUCUCAGAAGCACCGACAGUCCUGGGGGAGCAGGCAGCAAUGGUCACAGUUAGACCACCUGGUUCACAGUCCAUAUCUUUGUCUGCUGCCUCCUGUUCUGUGACUUCUGUUUUCUCACCUGCGGGAUGAGGGUGAGACCGGCUCCCUCCUGUGCUGUUAGGCAGGUUGUUAAGUCAGUGCUUAUGCUAGUCUCCAGCACACAGAGAGCAUCAUCUCACAGGUGAGCAGCCGGGAUGUAACUCAGUUGGCAGAGAGCUCACUUAGCAUUCAUGAACCCCCCAGUUUGAUUCCCCGGCAUGAUAUAAACUACGCCUGGUGCAUUCGGAGGGCUAGAGAGGGAGCGGCGGGGGGAUCAGCAGUUCGAGGCUAACCUGAGCUUACGUGAGAUACCUACUGUAAAACUUUAA
rnacentral:lncRNA from 1 species